GACGAACGCUGGCGGCGUGCUUAACACAUGCAAGUCGACAUGAGUGGCGAACGGGUGGGUAAUGCGUGGGUAACCUGCCCUCCUUUUUGGGGUAAGCCUUGGAAACGGGGUCGAAUACCGAAUAAAGGGGGAUGGGCUCGCGGCCUGUCAGCUUGUUGGUGGGGUGAUGGCCUACCAAGGCGGUUACGGGUAGCCGGGCUGAGAGGGUGAACGGCGACAUAGGGACUGAGCUACGGCCCAGAGUACUACGGUAGGCAGCAGUGGGGGAUAUUGAACAAUGGGCGAAAGCCUGAUGCAGCGACGCUGCGUGGGGGAUGAAGGCUUUCGGGUUGUAAACCUCUUUCGCUACCGAACGGGUAGGUGGAGAAGAAGCGCCGGCUAACUACGUGCCAGCAGCCGCGGUAAUUC
rnacentral:rRNA from 1 species